AUUGAACGCUGGCGGCAGGCCUAACACAUGCAAGUCGAGCGGUAGCACAGGGAGCUUGCUCCUGGGUGACGAGCGGCGGACGGGUGAGUAAUGUCUGGGAAACUGCCUGAUGGAGGGGGAUAACUACUGGAAACGGUAGCUAAUACCGCAUAACGUCGCAAGGCCAAAGAGGGGGACCUUCGGGCCUCUUGCCAUCAGAUGUGCCCAGAUGGGAUUAGCUAGUAGGUGGGGUAACGGCUCACCUAGGCGACGAUCCCUAGCUGGUCUGAGAGGAUGACCAGCCACACUGGAACUGAGACACGGUCCAGACUCCUACGGGAGGCAGCAGUGGGGAAUAUUGCACAAUGGGCGCAAGCCUGAUGCAGCCAUGCCGCGUGUAUGAAGAAGGCCUUCGGGUUGUAAAGUACUUUCAGCGGAGAGGAAGGCGAUAAGGUUAAUAACCUUGUCGAUUGACGUUACCCGCAGAAGAAGCACCGGCUAACUCCGUGCCAGCCGCCGCCGUAAAAC
rnacentral:rRNA from 1 species